rnacentral:rRNA from 1 species
AGCAGCAGCCACGGUAAUACGUAGGUGGCAAGCGUUGUCCGGAAUUAUUGGGCGUAAAGGGCUCGCAGGCGGUUUCUUAAGUCUGAUGUGAAAGCCCCCGGCUCAACCGGGGAGGGUCAUUGGAAACUGGGAAACUUGAGUGCAGAAGAGGAGAGUGGAAUUCCACGUGUAGCGGUGAAAUGCGUAGAGAUGUGGAGGAACACCAGUGGCGAAGGCGACUCUCUGGUCUGUAACUGACGCUGAGGAGCGAAAGCGUGGGGAGCGAACAGGAUUAGAUACCCCUGUAGUCCCUGUCUCUUAUAC